GGUCGGUUAGGGAGCACGCGGAAGGUCGCGGUGCGUCGCAGCGCGUUUCAACUCGUAUCCUCGUCAUCCCGUACGAUUGUUUGAUGCGAGCGAGUGUCUCGAGAGUGUCGUGGACUGCCGAACGUGAAGUGUCGACGCUCGCAUCGACAGCCGUCGUGUCGAAUGCAUGGUGCGAAGUCACGUCGCGUUCAAUCGCGUUUCACAGCUUCUCCGUUGCCUCUUAUUCCGAGUUUCCGACACGCGCGUGAGCACCAGGAGGGUUUCGAGAGUUCCGAAAACGAAGACUCGUGCGUUCGUAGUAAGUAUGAAUCAAGACGAAUCGUCGUGAGGAGAAUCUUGGAUUUUCCGUGUCACUCGGACGACAAUGGACGGUCGGUCGGGACGACGCGAAGUUAAUUGCGUCGCGCGUUCAAUCGUGUCUUCUCCGUUGUCCCCGUAUCCCGUAUCUCGAGUUUUCGACGGGCGUGAGUACCGGGGAUACCGAAAACGAACCAAGCGUCGUGCGGAUCUUGAAUCUUCGAAAGCCGUGGGCGCCGUGGCUGAAACUACGAGACGGAGCUGGACGGAACGACCAACGGCGAACAAUAUUUCUCGAGAUGGAAAACGAUGAGAAGAGGACAUCACUCACGUCGCCGACUUAUAAUAAAAUAAACGAACCGCAGCCGGUUCGUCGUGUCGCGCGAAUUUUUUCCGGGAGUGUCGUUUAAGUAUUGGACUAAUGAACUUUAAAUAACUCCCAUUCGAUAGAAUCCUAAUUCGAGGGCCAGGAAUCGUACCCCCGCUGCUUGGCAGUGAAUAUUCUUACUGGGGCGUUGCGUAUGGUGGGUGUGCGCGCCGCAUCGCGACGUUUCAUGCCGAGUGCCCGUGCACGAGGUAAUGCCGGGCCGCAUGUACGACAUGUUCGUGUGCAUGUUGCGCGGCUGUCUGGUUGUGUGAGUUUACACGCUCUGUCUCCGGCGAUCGGUUCGGUCCUCAGCGGUUAGAGUUCGGAUUGGUUGCCUUGGGUUCGCGCGUUUCUCUUGCUCUCGUCCACCAUCCUAAGGCUUUCUUAGAUUCUUGAUACUCUUUUUGGAUUCUUUGGAUCUGGGGUUCGAGCUGGGUGAAUGACGUUUAAUCUGACUUGGUCAGAACUUGGCCUUGUAGGUUAAGCUUGUGACGAGAGGCUGGCUCUCAUUUCCUGAUUCGUCUAAAAUGCUAGACGUCGGCAAUGAGUACCUUCUUCUCUCGUCCUGCCGGAGUGUCUUGUCGACGCCGCUUGGAUAUAAGAUCCAGUGGGACUGAUUAAGGUGAUCCGUUGGCUGGGCGUAUGAACGAGUCAAUUUUAGACAUGAUUUUUGUGAGACCAGAGGCGUCGGAUUCAAUGCUAUUGAUUUCGUCUUCUUCCGCGUAGGACUUACCCUUGUUCGGGGGUGGGUACGCGUGCGUUCUACUCGUCGACUCGGGGUGCUGAAUCCACGGGAAUCCCUCUGAAUGGAAACUCAUAUCAUGGGUUUUAUAAACCCGAAGUAUCGUGCAAAAAACUUUAUAAAUAAUUAGUCCACGCGCGCAAAUUUAGUAUAUUUUUCGCGAGUGUUCCGCGUGUGCAACAAGUGGAAGAGGACAACCUGUAGGACACUGAGAGGAGGAGGAGGCCUGGGAGAGGUAUCGGGCUCCAGCGGAGCAACCUUGGGUAUCAUCGUAGCUUCGUGGCUGAGUAACUCCGCUCGUUGCGCAUCGGUCGGUGAGUCAGAAAUCAAUGUUCUUAUAUUUCAAUGCUUUAAAUGUCUUGCGCAGGAUCAAAGCAUAAUAUUUUUGUGAGUGGAAUUAAAGGAAAACUACACUAUUAGCUCUUUAGUACGCAUAGUUAAAAUACGCGAUUUCUGCGAUGAUAGCACGAAGUUAGCGCAGCGAGAGAACCAAUCGACAUCGCGGGAAAGCAACUACAAUAACUUUGACAUAUUUUUUACAUGCCUUUUUUUAGAAAGGACUAGCACGUAGCGCGCGCAUUAGCCGUAGGCCGGGAUUCAUAGUCGAUUCAUUAUUUAAAACCGUCCUAAGUACCAUCCGCCGGGAAUUCGUGCGUUAUAGGAAAAAAGCCGGCCUGGCCGCUUUCAGGUUUCUCUCUAAUUAAACCGAGAUUACGCUAUAUUAAUAGAAAGGGACAUUACCCUUGCAUGGUAACUUGCGUUUUAAAUAAUAUUGAGUAUGGUUUAUUAUUGGAUAUCUUUAUCAGGUAAUUUUUAUCAGGUACAAUAGUAAAUUUCAAAAUUAUGUCUACACAAAUUAUUUACGUAUUGUUUAUACAAAUUUUUUUUAUGUAGAUAAUUCAAGUAAUGCAAAUUAUUAUAAAUUGGGUAGUAUAAUGUGGAAUACAGUAAUUAAAUUAUAGAGCAAUAUAUUUGAUUUUAGUAUUGAUAAAAUAAAAAUACAUAAUAGUAAAAAUAAAAAAGGGAAUAAAAUUUUUACUAUUGAUAAAAUCUGAAUGUUUUAUAAACCAUAGGUUGUUGUUAGAUGCCAUGUAAAACAUAGAUUGCAUAGUUUACAGUUUAUAUAAUAACACACUAUCGAAAAUUUUUAAAGGUGUUGCCUAAAUUUUUUAACUAAAAAGUGGAAUAUUUCAUAAAAUAAAAAUUGCGAAAUAUGUUUGUAACAUUACUGAAAUCACUGUGAAAUAGCAAAAUAUCUGUGAUUUUUGUACUUGAAAUCUUGUUGGAAAAUUGCUGAAACGUUUAUUAAAAAAAUUUACAACCUUUCUGAAAUAUUGCUGAAAUUAAGGUUGCACGUUUACAUUGUUAUGAUUCCUUGUUCUACUUAGACAUGUAUAUAUUAUAAUAGUAUGUUAAAUAACAAACAGCAUUUGCCAUAAUGCUUCAAUUUUUUUUUUAAUUAAAAGUUUAUUUUGAGUUUUUAAGAAAAGUUACUUUAAUAAUUAUUAUUGAAACCAUUUUGAUGUUAUUUUAUUGUUAUGUUGUUUUUGUUUAAACAUGUUUUGUUUAAAAUGUGUAUUUUUAAAUUUACUGUAUGUAAUUGAUUUUAGAAACCUUUCUGUUGCAACAUUUAACAUCACAAAGUUUUAGAAACAUUUCUGUUAUAAUAUUUCCAAUGACAUUUUAUGGAGUUUUCUCAGAAUUGUUCACAUGAAAUAUGAAGUGUUAAAAUCUUUCUGAAAACUUUUGCAAUAAUUGAUGCUAGGGUUAUAUACAUGUAAUGUAGAUUAAUUCUAUUUGACGCGUAAUUAUGCUCAACUUUGAUCUCCAUUGCAAAUAAUUUAUAUUAUGAAAUUAUUGUAUCCUUUUAUUUGAAAAUUUUGAAAGCAAGAUGUGUCGCGUGAAAUCUUCUUAUUUAAACAAUAUUUCAAAUAGAGAAAUCGAUAGACCCUGUUUUUUGUCCUGUUAUACAUUUCCUCUGAUCACAAUAAAUAGACUAUCCGUCUUUCUUCUUAGAAACGUCAUAAUUAAAUAAAUUUGUAUGAUUAAUCCAUAGUUAUUUUUAACUACAAAUUUCCACGGUUGAAGUUAAAUAUAUUUACUAUUUUAUCUCAUUCUUGUGAAACCUCUGGAUUUCAAACUCAACAAGUAAUUAAAAGUUCAUUUAAAUUUUCUCAUUUUAUGCUUUAAACUUUUUUUCUAGGUAAAAAUAAUUAUCUGUAAAUGAGAAAAAUCUUAAGCGUACGAGUUCAGGAAUUAAACGCUUUUAUAAUUAUAUACGUAUACCAAUAAAACUUUUAUAAUUAUAUACGUAUACCAAUAAAACUUUAUAAAAUUUAAGCUAUAAAAUAAUAUAACAUAGAAAAAAAAGAUUUGUUAAAAUAAGAAUAUCAUUGAUUCAGCAGAUCUAUAAUUCUAAUGUACAGACAGUUUUUUGUAUUAAAUAGUAAAGUUUUAAAGCUGAAUAAAAUUAGUGAUUAUAUUGGUUUUAAUAGCACAGCAAAAUUGUUAAUACAACAAUUUUUUGCGAAUAUAUUGGUUAAAAUUUUUAAUGAAACAUAUUAAGUUAAGAUGGUAUAUAGUUUUACUACUGUAAGAAAACUUGUCUCAUUAGCAAUUUUCAUUGUAGCAAAAAGAAUUUGUUGCAUUGAUAACUCAUUCAUUAAUUGCUUUCAUUAAGUGCUUUAAGAAUUGCGUAAUUUCUUUGUCGAACUUUCAAGUUGAAUUCGUGCAGCAAACUUUGCUGAAUCAUCUAAUCUAUUUUCUUUCAUGUAUAAUUUGUAAUGACAUAACCAAUUGAUUUAUGUGGCAGAUGAUAAGCAAAGUUAAAUUGCAAAUAUGAAUUGAUUCAGUUGCAAAUUUUUAUGAAUUAUUAUACGCAAGGAUUUGCAACUUUAAUAAAAGAAAUAAAAAUAUUUUAAAAGUACAUUUUGGAAUUUAUUCGUGACGAUGUAUGUUGCGAGUAUUCUAUUUUGAAUAAAUUUUCCAAGAAAAUACUUCAAAGGUCUUUUAUACUUUUUUAAUCUAUUAAAAAAUUAAAAAAAUUUAAAUUGCAUGGCUGUUGUGUAUAUUAAAUCUUUUUGUUUCGUUUUCUUCAAUUGUCGCAUUUAUUGAUUUAGAUAUGGAGAAGGGCAAAAACAGUGAAGAAUUAUCCGCAUGCAAUCAAAUUGAGGGUGUCCAUUAAGAUUGACAUCGGGGAUGAAUAAAAUAUAAUUAUAUAUGCACAUCAAUGCAGAAUAAUUUUCCGUUUGUGCAAUUACAAAAGAAAGGAAGCGUACAAAUUGAUGCAUUAGUUGCAGCAAAGCUGAAUUUAUAAUUGUAAUAAUUUUUUAUAUGUAUUAAUGCUUUAGUCUUUAAAACAUAAUUAUUUAAAAUCGAUAUUUGUGUCUAAAUAUCUUUUCUUUGUAAUUAUAAUUAUCUUGACAUCUCUUGUACGGUAUUUUGCGAGCAACUGUUGUCGCGUGUUUUAACAGUUUGCGUGAAAAUGGAUUGAUAGUACGUAAGUUGAUUAUUAAUAUAACGAUUAAUAAGCGAAAAAAUGAUUUUAUCAAAUUUAAAAAAAAGUUUGAUAAUUAUCAAAAAGGAAAGACAUUUAUCACACGCUCAUGUGUGUGUGCGUGUGCGCGCAGUAUGUUUGUGGUAUUCCAAUAACUCUAAAUUAAAUUCAUGUUCUGUUGCAAAUAAAUAACGCUAAUAGCGUAUCUUUAAUUGCAUUUAACAGCUAUUUUGAGUUUUAUAUUUUUUCUUUUACAAAAAUAUUCUUUUUUUUAUUGUUUAUAUGCAUAUUUUUAAUUCUAUAUUUAUUAUAUUUAUUUAUUAUACCACAAAGUAUUUGUAAUUGAUACUAAAGAUACAAUGGAAAAAUCUUCGACUUAAAAUAAAAUUAUGAUGAAUAAGGUCACGCUAUAGUAGAGCCCAAAAUGUAAUUGUAGAUAUAUCUGUUUCAUAAUAUAUUCUGCAUACUGAUGAAUUUAAAAUACGUAAUAGUAUGUGUACGAAAUAAUAUUAUAAUCGUGAAAUGACAAUUGUUAAUUGCAUUUGUUGCAUAUGUAUGCAAAAUUGUUUUUGUAAUGCAACGCUUUAAUGUAUCAUACGCUUUGUGUGUUAAGCCCACUCAACAUAGUUUAUAGCUUCUCAUUAGUUUGACAUGCUUGGUACAAGCUUUAUUUUCCCCUCACGUAGUAAUAGUAAUGAACGUCAGAAGUUUCGGGAUCUUUCGAUGCAAUAAAGAUAGUAUUACAUGACAUAUUUUGAGUAUAAAAUGGCAGUUAUUUUCAUGACUUAAUAACAUGGAAGAAUGUAUAUAUUCAAAUUUAACACUAAACUAUAUACUGCUUUAUCUAUUUUGCAAUCUGCAUUUUACUUUUCGUUUUAACUUUUCCAUGUAACGAAACACAAAUUCACACAAAAAAGUUGAAUGCAAAAUGAAUUGCUGCAAGGGCCGAUUCGAGGAAAAGGUAAAGCAUUAAAUUAAAGUCUUCAUAAAACCUUCAAUUGGAGUAGAGGUUGCUUAUUUACUUAUAUAUAUUUAUUUGGGAGAUAUUUGUAACGAAAUGUACCCAUAUAACCGAUUUAAUUAAUUAUUCCCUUUUAUAUUAAUAUUUUAGUAUUUAAUAGCAAUUAUAUUUAAAUUAUUUAUUUAUAUAAAAACGUAAGCAUUUAACGAUCAAUAAAAUAAAAUCUUCACAAUUGUCGUGUACUUUCAAGAUUCUCAACAAUAAAAAUAGGUAUAAAGCAGGUACUAUACAGAAUAAAAGCAUUUUACGUACAUAUAGAAAGCAUCCCAACAUCGAACAUGACUAAAGUGAGUAUCGAAUUUUUAAAAUUCCUGCAUAAAGAAUCAGUGAUGCAUCGGCAUAAAUUUAUGCAUGAAGAAGCUACUCAAUCUAAAGCUAAAUCGAUCUAUAAUUUGCGUCAAAUUUUAGGAAUUUUAUUGUACUUAUAAUUUUAUUUGGCAUGUCAUGUAUUUUGAGAUAUAAUUUAUGUAUAUUUAUUUUAUACACGGGGGUGUAUUUUAAUUCUUUAAAUAUUUUUCUUUUAUAUUGCACAAUAUGCAAAAUUAUAAAAAAAUUUCUGUGCUAUAAGAUGUGAUUUAAUGAAUUAGAAAUUAUUAAAAUGCAUAACUUUUAAACUAUUAUAACGCUCAAAAAAAUCAUACUAUUUGUAAACAGCAGUUAGACCGCUGUCAUGUUUCUGUUAAUUUUAAAAAUUUCUUAUAAUAAAAAAUGUAUAUUUUCAAUUAUUCUGAAUAUUUGUAAACAGGGGAGGCGGAGAAAGAUGUUUUAAUAUGAGGAUUAACAAAAAUUCACAUUUGCAAAGUGUUUCUAAAGUUUAUAAAACUUUAUCCGUUAUAUUUUAGAAGCAGUUCAAAAUAAAAAAAAACCACGAAAUAUAUGCUUUAUCAUUUCGCGGGACUAUUUUUUUAAGGGGUUUAUGGAGAUUGUUUCUUUUUAAGGGAUAUUUUAGGGGUACCCCAUCUUAAAUAUUUCAAAUGGAAAUCUCCAUAUUAUAAUAUAUUAUUUAAAAGAGUAUAAAAAAAGAAAUUUUUUAGCACAAAACGGAAGUUGAUACGUUGACUCGUCCAAGAAUUAUUUAGGGUCAAAGACCGAAAAAGACCAAUUAAAAAAAAAAAACGUUAGAUAUUCCUAUUUGAAAAAUUUUUUAAAUCUUAAAAGAUUCUAAGAAAGAGAGUUGAAUUAUAAAAAUUUUUCUAACAUUAAAAUAUAACAUCAUACCAGUAAACAGGACGUAGAUAAAGAACAGUUACUGUACAUGUCCAAUUCUUUGAAAAAGUAGGAAAGGGUAAACCCCUUUGGGUCCCUGUGAAACCUCUACAAUUUUUCAACCAUUUUAUAUUACACGUUCCCUACAAAUGGGACCACUGCAGUGUUUGCUGGAGAAAAAUGGCUUACAAAAAUAUCAUGAGUUUAGAGCUCCUCUUGCAAAUGUCAAGGAUGUUAUUGAUAAGUAAAGUUUUUAUAGAAGUCUGUAAGACCGGCAUUACAGUUUAAGAAUUAAGUUUUGUCACCAAAUUUAUCAUGUAAUAAAGAAUUAUUUCUUCUAUUAAUUAUUUAGUUUAUCAAUCUUUACUAAUAGUAGUUGAUAUAUUUAAAUGUCACGUGACAUUUUUUAAUGUCACGUUGUCUAAUAUAACCAAUUAAAA